GUGUAAAGGGCUCAGAGGGCGUCUUCUCUCCCCUGUGUCUGCCUGCUAGAUGUUCCUCUGCAGCUGAACAGCUGGCAGGCAGCCCGAGAUGGGGCCCUGCUCAGGAAACCCCCACCUCCGCUGGGCCUCUCGGCUCCUGGGACUCCUCAGCCUCCUCUUCAGUGUCUGCCGCAGUGGGACCAAUAGUGAUGGAGGUCCUGCUCCUGGAGUUCAGGAUUCUGGAAUCCACAUUCCUCUGCAGGGGAUCCGAGGAGGUUCUGUGCUGUUUCCUUUGCCCAAGAAGCAAGACGCUGAGCUGGAGGAGGUCACGUGGGGCUUUGGUCCUGCGUCAGAGUACAGAGUCCUGCUGUGAGUCCGUCCUGCGGAAGCUCCCACCUGGGUCAGCCUCCAGGACAGGUACCAGGAGAGGGUCCAUGUGCCCAACAUAACGUCCCUGAAGAUUGAGAACCUGACCCCCGAGGACAGUGGGCUGUACCGGGCUCGAGGCAGCUUCACUGGAGGAGUAGAUUUUACCCAGGUUUUCCACCUCACUGUCUAUGAGCCUGUGCCCAUCCCCCAGAUCCUGGUCCACUCACCAUCCAUCACGCAAGGCUGGUGCAAUGUCACCAUUGAGUGCAGGAUCUCAUGGGGCACAGAGGACCUGAAGGUGACCCGGGAGGGCAAGGGCCUCCCCAGGCAGCUGGAGGAGAGAGUGACACUGGGACCAGCCCCCAGUUCCUGGACCUUGGCUGUGCACCUUCCCCGGAGCCAGCCUUACACCAACAUCACCUGUGUGGUCAGCAACGAAGUGGACCAGAAAACUGCCACCUUCAACCUUGGGGAAGUCUGCCACCUCGGGGACGCCCAUGGUUCACUUGGAGAGGCGAUUGUUGUUUCCCUACGAGGCAUCCUAGGGUCUGUCGUGGUCAUGGUGUUGGUCCUCAGAGGUGGACUGUACCUUUGGAAGGCACACGGGAAGAAGAAGAAGAAGGAGAAGGAGAAGGAGAAGGAGAAGGAGAAGGAGAAGGAGAAGGAGAAGGAGAAGAAGAAGAAGAAGAUGGAGACUGCAAGAGGCAGGUGGCACUUCUCCUUCCUGCCCCAGUUACUUCCCCUCCCCCACUGGACCCUUGGCGCCCUUCCUCCUGCAUUCACUUCUCAAGGAAUAUCUGUGCACAGGAGAUGGUGGCAGUGGUCAUGGCCUUGGGGUACACAGCAGUGGGUGGAGGGUACUGGUUUCCCAGGCCCCGAUUUAAGCUCCAUUCUGUUUGUGACUCAGGAGCAGGAUUGCAGGAGGAUCAUGGGGUCCGUGACUGUGGCAUCUAGAGUGCAGAACUGAGCCAGCAGGAGUCUCUUGAGGUGAGAUGUACCCAGUGAGUACUGAGCAUUGUGCCCAACCUGUGCUCUCCUGGUUCCCUCACUGCCCAGGCCUGGGUUUGUCUAACUCAUGCAUUGCUGUUUUUAUUCCUCCUGCCACUUUAACUCUUUCUGGACAAUACACUGAGAAUUUAACCCUGGGACCAGUGUAUAGACCUGUGGAAUUCUCCAGCAUCCUGGCAUAUUGGACAGAUGCCAACCUUUGUUGAGUUGGUGAUGGAUAGGCCUGUAUUCAGAUGUGCUUAGUUUGCCAUAAUGUUCCCUUUCUAUUCCAGGGUCCUACCCAGGACACCACCUUACCUGCAGGUGCUAUGUCUCCUGAACUCUUCUUGGCAGUUUCUCAGACUCAUUUUAAAGAAUACCAGUUAGGAGUUUUCUAAAUGUCCUCAGUGAAGAUUUGUUUGCUGUUUCUCUCAUGAUUAAACUGGAAUUCUUUUUGAAGAAAUCCACAGAGGUAAAGUGUCAUUUAAAUCACCUAUCAAGGGUACAUAAUAUCAAUAUAACUUAUCCGAUGGUGACCUUGACCUUGAUGACCUGGCCAAAGGGAGUGUUUGUCAGGCUCAUUCAUUAUGAUGUUAUUUCCCCCCUCCCCCCUUUCCACACGCUUCUCACUGGAAGGAAGUCGUUACGUGCAGUCCACACUUAAGCGGUGAAGGUUGUGCUUCUGUCCUUGAGGGUGGAGCAUUUACACACAUACCUACUUGCUAGAGUCGUCUGAGUGAGGAUGGAAGAAGUAAUGCACACCAAGUGCUUAGUCUCAGUGCCUUGUAUGGAGUAAGAACUCAAUAAAUGUCAACCACAGGAAAUACGCCA
rnacentral:lncRNA from 1 species